AACCUACGGGAGGCAGCAGUGGGGAAUAUUGCACAAUGGGCGAAAGCCUGAUGCAGCAACGCCGCGUGAAGGAAGAAGGGUUUCGGCUCGUAAACUUCUAUCCACAGGGACGAAAGAAAUGACGGUACCUGAAUAAGAAGCCCCGGCUAACUACGUGCCAGCAGCCGCGGUAAUACGUAGGGGGCAAGCGUUAUCCGGAAUUACUGGGUGUAAAGGGUGAGUAGGCGGCAUGGUAAGCCAGAUGUUAAAGCCUUGGGCUUAACCCGAGGAUUGCAUUUUGAACUAUCAAGGUAAAGGAAAGGAGA
rnacentral:rRNA from 1 species